rnacentral:rRNA from 1 species
UGGGGAAUAUUGCACAAUGGGCGCAAGCCUGAUGCAGCCAUGCCGCGUGUAUGAAGAAGGCCUUCGGGUUGUAAAGUACUUUCAGCGGGGAGGAAGGGAGUAAAGUUAAUACCUUUGCUCAUUGACGUUACCCGCAGAAGAAGCACCGGCUAACUCCGUGCCAGCAGCCGCGGUAAUACGGAGGGUGCAAGCGUUAAUCGGAAUUACUGGGCGUAAAGCGCACGCAGGCGGUUUGUUAAGUCAGAUGUGAAAUCCCCGGGCUCAACCUGGGAACUGCAUCUGAUACUGGCAAGCUUGAGUCUCGUAGAGGGGGGUAGAAUUCCAGGUGUAGCGGUGAAAUGCGUAGAGAUCUGGAGGAAUACCGGUGGCGAAGGGGCCCCCUGGACGAAGACUGACGCUCAGGUGCGAAAGCGUGGGGAGCAAACAGG